CACCACAAGGCAAUCCCUCACUGCAUCUUAUAACAGGUAUUCUGCUCAAUCACAAGCUUGCCACUAAAAUCCCCUUUCAUCCAGCUUAGAAGCCACAUGAUCAGUAUCUCCGAGCCUUACUAGAAGCGAAAGAGUGAGAAAAGUAAGGGGGCAGAAAAAAAUGGCAGAAACCCUCAGCUACUUACUUGCAAAUAUUAGGACAAGAUCUUACCAGAUCUAAAAUGAUUUUCCAGAUUGCUUACCUCGCGCGAUGCGCGCCAAACCGAUCUGCAAAGUUUUGAAGUUGGAAGACAGUUUCAGGGUUAAAACUAGCGGAUGCUUUUGGUGCUCUUCUUGGUUUCUUCCACAGCCUUACCAUCACCAGAAUCUGAACGGCAAUCUGCAUCUCAU
rnacentral:lncRNA from 1 species